CUCUCAGCCAAAGCCAAGAAUAGCAACUGUAGCAGCAGGUACCACACCUGACUUUCUAAUGAGGGGAAGUCCAGCAGCCGUCCCCCAUUGUCUGUGGCAGGAGGUAUCUCUGCAUUAGCCAGGUUAGACAAAUGUAAAGAGAGACAUCACUGUAUCUGGAUCAUCAGGAUCUGUGAAGGUUUGAAAGGGCCAAUGAGUAUUCUCAUCAUUGAGGCAUUCUAUGGUGGGUCCCAUAAACAGCUGGUGGAUCUGCUUCAAGAAGAGUUAGAAGACUCUGUCCUGUAUACCCUGCCUGCAAAGAAAUGGCACUGGAGAGCAAGGACAUCAGCUUUGUACUUCUCUCAGAAUAUUCCCGCCAGUGGGCAUUACAGGAUCCUCUUCGCAAGCUCAGUGCUUAACCUGACUGAACUGGCUGCCCUUCGACCUGACCUUGGGAAAUUGAAAAAGAUUCUGUACUUUCAUGAGAACCAGUUGGUAUAUCCUGUCAAGAAAUGUCAGGAGAGGGAUUUCCAAUAUGGAUACAACCAAAUUCUAUCCUGCCUGGUGGCUGAUGUGGUGGUAUUCAACUCGGUUUUUAAUAUGGAGUCAUUUCUCACUUCUAUUGGAAAAUUCAUGAAGUUGAUUCCUGAUCACAGACCCAAGGAUCUGGAAAGCAUCAUCAGACCCAAGUGCCAAGUUAUUUACUUUCCCAUCAGGUUUCCUGACGUGAGCAGAUUCAUGCCCAAGCACAAAGCAGCCCAUUUACAGAAGAUACUCAGCCUUAAAGAAAAUGGUGGCACUGCUCCAUCCACGGCCCUUCCUUUCCAACAGGAGCAGAGAGGUUCUGAGAAUUUAUUGAAGAGUUUUGAUUCAAAGUCUGGACUUGGUGAUGCUGCACAACAAGAAAGCCUGGGUUGCUCUGUAAGACAGGAGUCAUACUUGAAAACAUUCAACUCCUCAGAUGAUUCAAGCACACAUCAUGGGGAACGUAAACAAAAUCAGUGUGACAUUUUGGCUGAAGCUGAUGAUCAGCAAAGACCAUUACAUAUUGUCUGGCCUCACAGGUGGGAGCAUGAUAAAGAUCCAGAGAGUUUUUUUAAGGUAUUGAUGCAUCUUAAGGACUUAGGACUCAAUUUCCACGUAUCUGUCCUUGGAGAAACCUUCACAGAUGUCCCAGUUAUACUUUUUCAACACAUAUUUUAUUCCUCAUUCCAGUAUCUGUCUCCACUCGGAAACCCAAGUCCCACCUCAGAUAUAUUUUCAGAAUCCAGAAAGGCAUUGGGAUCUUCUGUGUUGCACUGGGGCUACUUACCCAGCAAAGAUGACUAUUUCCAAGUACUGUGCAUGGCUGAUGUUGUCAUCUCAACAGCUAAGCAUGAAUUCUUUGGAGUGGCAAUGUUGGAAGCUGUGUAUUGUGGGUGUUACCCGCUUUGUCCCAAAGAUUUGGUUUAUCCCGAAAUAUUUCCAGCUGAAUAUCUGUAUUCUACACCUGAACAGCUUUCAAAAAGGCUCCAGAAUUUCUGCAAGAGACCAGAUAUUACAAGAAAACAUCUCUAUAAGGGUGAAAUGGCUCCUUUUUCUUGGGCAGCCCUACAUGGUAAAUUCAGGUCUCUGCUUACAGCAGAACCUAGGGAAGAUUUGUGACAGAUGGGGCUAAGUCACAAACUUGCAGCCUAAGGCAGAAUCUGUAGAACUUUCCAGAGUGUGCCCAUAUUUACCUGAUCAGAGAGAAAAGAAAAUCUGCAGAGGAAGCUGAGCCUGGCUGCUUGUCAUAGCUGACACAGAGCCAUCUGCCACAAACCUGUGGCGGCUUCAGAUCUCCAAUCCCUGCCACCACCCCAACUCAAAUUAAAUACAGAUUCCUAGAGACGUUAUGAUGGUUACACAUGUCCUCGGCAUCACAUGGAGGAGACUGUUCAAAAAAAAUAUGUGGCCUGUUGUAUAACCGCACUCAUGUAUCCCAUAUGUGGUGCCACAUUGAAUUUCCGGUUGAAUCCGUUUUUAUCCUUUGUACUGGAUGACAUGGUGCCUGAAUUCUUUCAUUUCGCCGACACGAUGGCAGCCAAACUGCAGCUUCAAACGCUCUCACUUGGCUGGGUUUCUACCUAGGUUGCCAGGUUAUCAUCGGAGCCUUCUUGUGUCCUCAGAGGGCCACAGGGCCUGAACGGAGGAUCAGAAUGCUACUGACUAAUUGGGCAGCCAUCUCGGAAUUGUUUGUGGGCAAAGAGCUGCUUUAGCACUUUUCUUUUAGCAAAUUAAUGACUCCCUGGCACCGAGGUUUUAAGUGAAGGUAUUAAUAAGAAGUCUGGCAGGUAUUCCCAUGAUUCACAGAGUUACAUUUGCAUUUAAUUUAUCUUAAAGAAAGUUGCAAGAUAAACAGCUGUAAUUCAGACAAACAUGGAAAAUACACUAAGUAGGGCCAUCUCGCCCGUAAAAUGAACACAGAGAUACUUGUUUUAAUUUUUUUCGAGAAAUAAAAAUACUUCUUACAAAACCA
rnacentral:lncRNA from 1 species